GUGCCAGCAGCCGCGGUAAUACGUAGGGCGCAAGCGUUGUCCGGAUUCACUGGGUGUAAAGGGUGCGCAGGCGGGAAGGUAAGUUAGAGGUGAAAUCUCACGGCUCAACCGUGAAACUGCCUUUGAUACUGCUUUUCUUGAGUUAGGGAGAGGUUGAUGGAAUUCCAGGUGUAGCGGUGAAAUGCGUAGAUAUCUGGAAGAACACCGGUGGCGAAGGCGGUCAACUGGCCCUAAACUGACGCUCAGGCACGAAAGCGUGGGGAUCAAACAGGAUUAGAUACCCCGGUAGUCC
rnacentral:rRNA from 1 species